CUGGAUACAAGAUGGGAUGUGGCCCAUAGCCUGGAUACAAGAUGAGAUAUGGCCUUUAGCCUGGAUAAAAGAUGAGAUACAGUCUCUAGCCUAGAUACCAGAUGAGAUACAGUCUCUAGCCUGGAUACAAGAUGAGAUACAGUCUCUAGCCUGGAUACAAGAUGAGAUACUGCCUUUAGCCUGGAUAAAA